UGUUCGAUCCUUGUUUGGCAUUUUUUUUUUUUUAAAGACGAAAACUCUUCCUUUAAUAACUAAAAAACGCUAAUUUUUUGGAUUCUCAAAAAAAAAUAAAAUCAUAAAACAGCUUUUUUUUUUUUAUUAAACUUACCAAACCGACUUUCCUCAAAACUUUCAUAGAUCGUGCAAAUUCAUUCUAUAACCACCGUCUCUUUGGUUCAUUCAUUCAUUCAUCACCAUCACCACCUAUAUCUCAUUCUUCCUUCCAGGUUGGAACAAAAAUCAUGAGUUUUUGAUUGCUGCAAUUAUAGCUUUUUACGCAAAAUCUAGUUACUUGUGUCUUGACUCAUCAUCAUCAUCAUCAUCAUCAUCAUCAUCAUUUACUCACCAUGAGGUGAAAGAAGAUUCCAAAAUAUGGAAGUGCAUUGUGAUCUAUCUUAUUGUUUAUGUAACAUCUUCUAUGGCUUGUUAUGUUAUGGGAAAAAGGUUGAGACGACCAAGAUUGAGGAUGAGAUUGCAUGCUACCUAAGAUUUUGAUGUUUCGUUAACUAGUUGUAAUUUAAAGAUAUUUGAUCCUUUCUUAUUUAUUUGAGAUAGUGGUUAUAUAUUUGUAACUUCUAUAAAUUGUAAUUACAUACAUUCUAUGAUAUAUUGAAGGUUUAUUGGAUUAAUAUAGCAGUCUCAA